UACGGAGGGUGCAAGCGUUGUUCGGAAUCACUGGGCGUAAAGCGCGUGUAGGCGGCCUUCUCAGUCUGGUGUGAAAGCCCGGGGCUCACCCCCGGAAGUGCAUUGGAUACUGGAAGGCUGGAGUACCGGAGAGGAGGGUGGAAUUCCUGGUGUAGCGGUGAAAUGCGUAGAUAUCAGGAGGAACACCGGCGGCGAAGGCGGCCCUCGGGCGCGUUGCUGACGCUGAGACGCGAAAGCGUGGGGAGCAAACAGG
rnacentral:rRNA from 1 species